rnacentral:rRNA from 1 species
AACACAUGCAAGUCGAACGGCGCGUAGCAAUACGUCAGUGGCAGACGGGUGAGUAACACGUGGGAACGUACCUCUUGGUUCGGAACAACACAGGGAAACUUGUGCUAAUACCGGAUAAGCCCUUACGGGGAAAGAUUUAUCGCCGAGAGAUCGGCCCGCGUCUGAUUAGCUAGUUGGUGGGGUAAUGGCCUACCAAGGCGACGAUCAGUAGCUGGUCUGAGAGGAUGAUCAGCCACAUUGGGACUGAGACACGGCCCAAACUCCUACGGGAGGCAGCAGUGGGGAAUAUUGGACAAUGGGGGCAACCCUGAUCCAGCCAUGCCGCGUGAGUGAUGAAGGCCCUAGGGUUGUAAAGCUCUUUUGUGCGGGAAGAUAAUGACGGUACCGCAAGAAUAAGCCCCGGCUAACUUCGUGCCAGCAGCCGCGGUAAUAC